UAAAAAUAAAUGAUGACUUCAUAGUUCAACUGAUUUAGAUUGAAGAAUGUUACUAAUGUCUUUCGCUCCUAUCUGAUAAUUUUA
rnacentral:snoRNA from 1 species